ACGGCAUUUUCCCCAUAAAAGUAGUACCCUGCAUCAUUCAACCUUUUCAAGUUGUUUGUGUCAUGUCCAAGGUUAAUCACUUAAUCCCAGCUCAAAUAAACCUUAAUCAAUGAGAUAUCUAUACCUUGUUAAACUACAUCUUUAUUCUAUUUUGCGUAUUUUAUCUCAUUAUGGUUUUAUUUUCUAUCCAUAUAAGAUGUAAUUUACUUUGAGUGAAUAUAUAUAUACUAUAUUGCUUUGGCAUGGCCAUAAUAGGAUAAGAUUAUAGGCAUCCUGUGUUAUUUGUGUCCUGCAUAUAUCAAAAUGCGUUUAUAUUGUUAACAGCAUCUUCUAUACCUGUACCCUUUUGAGGAAGUGCUAGUAACCUAAGACAAGUCAAACAAGCAGUAGCAUUUGAGGUGAUCAUUGACACUCUUUGCCUUACAAUAUUGGGUAAACUAUGAGAUGGCUUAAACUCUUGACGAGAAGAUUUUAAUUGCCAAUGUUGGUGACUCAAAGGCCCUUUUAUGCACAAAGAAAAUCCAGUCUGGUCAGGGUGACUUGACAGCCAGUCUUUCAGCUACUGAACUAACAGAAGAUCAUAGUCCAGGUAGAGAUGAUGAAAGAGCUCGAAUUGAAGUAGCUGGUGGUGACCAUGGUGGAUGGAUUAAUAUCAUGGUGCAGGUCAUGGUGAAUGGACUUCUCUUCCAAUUAUCUUUUCCACUGAAUUAUCUUGGCAGUGUUUAUCGUGAGACCAUAUAGAGUCUUGUUGAUAUGAAGUCCAUGUUUCAGUUGCUGGAGUUCUUAAUGCAAGGGAAAGUUGGUGGCUAUGCAUCAUUCUUUGAGAAGUACCACAAGAAGGCAAAAUCCUUUAUUUGAGACCCUUUAAACAUUAGUACGUUAGGU